UACAGAGGGUGCAAGCGUUACUCGGAAUUACUGGGCGUAAAGCGUGCGUAGACGGUUGCGUAAGUCCGAUGUGAAAGCCCCGGGCUCAACCUGGGAAUUGCAUUUGAGACUGCGUAGCUAGGGUGCGGAAGAGGGAAGCGGAAUUUCCGGUGUAGCGGUGAAAUGCGUAGAUAUCGGAAGGAACACCAGUGGCGAAAGCGGCUUCCUGGUCCAGCACCGACGUUCAGGCACGAAAGCGUGGGGAGCAAACAGG
rnacentral:rRNA from 1 species